CCUACGGGUGGCAGCAGUGAGGAAUAUUGGUCAAUGGCCGUAAGGCUGAACCAGCCAAGUCGCGUGAACGAAGAAGGAUCUAUGGUUUGUAAACUCCUUUUAUAGGGGAAUAAAGGUAUCCACGUGUGGAUAUUUGCAUGUACCCUAUGAAUAAGCAUCGGCUAAAGCCGUGCCAGGAGCCGCGGUAAUACGGAGGAUGCGAGCGUUAUCCGGAUUUAUUGGGUUUAACGGGUGCGUAGGGUGUUUUUUAAGUCAGCGGUGAAAGUUUGUGGCUUAACCAUAAAAUUGCCGUUGAAACUAGAAGACUUGAGUGUGUUUGAGGGAGGCGGAAUGCGUGGUGUAGCGGUGAAAUGCAUAGAUAUCAGGCAGAACUCCGAUGGCGAAGGCAGCUUACUAAGCCAUAACUGACACUGAAGCACGAAAGCGUGGGGAUCAAACAGGAUUAGAUACCCCUGUAGUC
rnacentral:rRNA from 1 species